rnacentral:lncRNA from 1 species
GUGCAUAUGUGCAAACUUAUGCAUGUAUCUCACCAUAUUAUACAUAGACAAGUAAAUUCAUGCAUGUAUGUAUGUAUGUAUGCAUAUAUGCAUGUGUAUAAAUACAUAAAUUCAUUAGAUGUUGGUCUGUAGGCAAUUUCAUACAUCUCUUAAAAUAGAUAAAACCAACAUUUGUUGAAAACAAGUUUGUUAAGUAAUUGAGGAACAUCGAUGUGCCACC